rnacentral:lncRNA from 1 species
AGAAAAAAAAAGUAGAGAGACAGAGAAAGAAGAAGCUUUAUAGUUUGUAGUAUAAACCAAAUAGUAUUCAAUAAUCAUCAAUAAAGGGAGUAAUAAUCAAUCUAAUCUAAUUAAGGGAUGUUUUAUCUUGCAGCAAGCACAAUCUCUAUAGGUGUAAAAGGAAUUUAUUCAGUUAAAUCUAUGAUUCAAUCUUGCUGACAUACAACUUAUUUUCAUUUGUUGCAAAGAUAAGGAAACUUAAGGGUGAACUGUGACACAACUAAUUACUACCAUCAACACACUUUUGAUAGGCGGGCUAUAGAGAUCUCUAUUUUUGUAUUGGUUCAUAAAUAAAUCAAAGUGCACCGUACACAACCAAUGCGGGUAGCGAUAAUUUGUUUAAUCAAAAAUCACCCACCAAAUUAUCAUGCAUAAUAAAAAAAAAUGAUAAAUCAAGACAAAAUAAUUAAAUAUAAAUAUAUUAAUUGAGUUUACCUUCAAACAAGAGUAUUUGAGUUUUGAGUUGAUUCUUCCGCCUUCCUGAACUCCUCUAGUAUGUCCUCUGUAAGCUCUUCAUACGUGGGUUCCAAUUUGUCUAGACAAACACAAAAAAUAAAAAUGAAUAAAUAAAUUCAAACAUUGGUGCAAAUCAUACACUAACAAACAAGUGUUAAAAACAUACACUAAUAUAUAACAAGUUACCUUUCUUUCUACACAUCCAAUCAUUGGUGCAAAUCAAAGCUUCAACAUUUUCGGGUAAAAGUGCACUACGAUAUUUAUCAAGAACUCUACCACCAACACUAAAGUCAGAUUCGGAAGCGACAGUAGACACAGGAAUAGAUAACAAAUCACAAGCCAACCUUGAAAGUUCUGGAUACCGAAACUGGUUAGCUUUCCAAAAGACAAGAACAUCCAACUUGUCCGAUAUCUUCAUUCUUGGUUCCGCUAAGUACAGGUCCAACUGACUUUGUUGGGUUGUAGAACUAUUAUACUCCUCACUCUCAUGAAAGCCCUACACCAUAAAGAUUAUAAUUAUAUUUUACAUCAAGAACAAUAAUAACUAAAAAAAAAUAAAAAAGACAAAUAAAUUAAUUAUACCUGCAAAAAACUGUUCUCGUGUAUUGUGUUGUAGACUUGAGGUUGAUCACUUCCUUGUGUAACAGUAGGUUCCGAGAUAGAAUAGGCUUUCACAUACAAACUGAAGAGGUUAAACAAAGACUCACGAACCAACUGCAUUUGUCGAGAGUUAGGCCCAUAGAGUCGUGUAUAACAAAAGUCGACAACAUUAAGUUUAUAUCUUGGAUCCAUAACCACACAAAUAGCAAGAAUCUUAUUAUGGUCGGACCAAUACUUGUUAAACUUCAAUUCCAUAUUUUUUCCCAUCUUACUCAUAAACGUAUCCGGGUCAUUUACCGCAUUUUGAAUAACUUGUUGAAUCUCACAAACUUGAGGAAAAAACAAGUUGGAAGUGGGGUACAAUGUCCCGGAAAACAACUUAGUGACUUUUGCAAAUGUGCCCAAGAACUUACAAAUCUUUUCAAGUUGUUCCCAAUCAUCCUUAGAAGGGCACUCUACAUUCGUAUAAUUUGUAUCUGGGCUCAAAGACAAAUUAAUAAAAGCCAAACGGUAGAAGAUUGCACUAUCAAGUAUAUAAUAAGUGGAAUCCCACCGAGUAGAAAUAUCUUGUCUCAACCCUUUGCUAGUAGGCUACCUUCCCACUCUCAUAAAAAACCUUCUUCCUAGCUUGUGAACCUCUAAAAUAUUUAACACUCUCCCGAACUUUAACCACCGCUGGAUCAACAUCUUUCAAACCAUCAUGUACUAUCAAGUUAAGAAUAUGGCAACAACAACGAAUGUGGAAAUAUUCUCCAUUAGAUACAAGUGCAUCUCUAAGGUUAAGUUGACUCCUUAGCAAAUUAACACAUACAUCAUUAGAAGAUGCAUUAUCUAGAGUCAUUGAAAACAACUUCUUCUCAAUGCCCCAAUCACACAACAAUGAAUAUAUUUUCUCACAUAUAGCUGCACCAGUGUGUGGGGUAGGCAUGUAAGAAAAGCUUAAGAUUUUCUUUCGUAAAUUCCACUUUUUAUCAAUAAAAUGAGCAGUUAAAGUGAUAUACCCAUCAUUUGCAAUAGAAGUCCACAAAUCGGAAGUCACACAUAUUUUACCACUAACUGAAUGCAACAACUUCUUCAGGUUUACUUUUUCCCUAACAUAUAUCUUAUUGAUGUCAGACUUCACUGUGUUUCUAGACUUCAGCCUGACUAGAUUCUCUGAAUUAGCUAAACUCGCAUAUUGAAUGAGUUCUCUAACACCUUCAUACUCGACAAAUUGAUAUGGAAGAUCAUGUCUAACAAUUGCCAUACUCACUAGCUCACAAAAUACGUCAGGGUUAAAUUUGGAUGGAUUAGUAGUACACAAGGUUACAUCAGAAGUGCCUAUACAUAUUUGGCCUACAUCACGAUAAGUGGUUUUAUGACACUUUCGAGUAUGUCGUGUGGCAUUCCCCGUUCCUUGACUACUAUCAGCUCUAAGUUUAUGGCCACAUUUUUUACAAGCCGCCAUUACAUACCCACUCUCAUUCACUCCAGGUAAAGUAUUAUAAUGAUCCCACGCUUUAGAUACAAAAGUACGAGUUCGUUUAGUGGAACUUUUACCUGUUGAGGUUUGGUCUUCGGCAUUACCUUCCAUAUCAACAUCUAUGAGAUCGUUUUCCGAAAGAUCCACAACGUCCUCCAUCUGAAAAUUCAGAAACAAAAAUAAAAAAAAUGCAACUUAAUACAUGUAUUAAUAAUGUUUGUCAAAUGAAAAUCAGUGACCAAAAUAAGCAUCACAUAAGCGUAUUGCUCAAAUGCCGCAAAUUGAAUAUGGCAUGAAGGAUGAAGAACUCAAUUGAAUUUAAACUAUGAAAACUAUAAUCGUCGAUUAAGCCCAGCCAAAUCUACAAAUGGGCUUAAUCGACGUUUUUCAAAGAGAGAUCACCAGAAAAUUUGAUUCAACUAAAAAUCAAUGGUCUUAAUGGAACUAGUUCUAUAAAUGAAAAAAAAAAGAAUGGAUUCUCAAUGAAGAUCUGUAAUGGGUUUUUGACAGAAAGAACAAAAACACUCUUGUAGUAUGAAAUGAAUCAAAACAACACACUUUAUGGACAAAAUUUCAAAUACCCUUUUUUAAUGAAGGUUGUGUGGUUAAAUUAGGUACAACUAACAGAGAAAUAUAUAUACUAGAAAAUGACAAAAAACAAUGGUGAAUUGGUGAUUGUGGUAUGGUGGAGUGAUAGAUUGAAUAAUUGAUGAAGACAAUGAUAAAACUGAAGUGGGGUUAAAUUCUUUCUUCUUCCCAC